UCCAGGUUCGUUCUCCACCGCCGUAAUAAGAAACAACCUGUCAUCGUCGAUCCGACGCUCGCCUUCUCCUCCUCCGCCUCCUCUUCUUCUUCCUUCUCCUGUCUCUCGCUCUCAGGACCUCCAUUCUGUAGGGAAAUCUCACAGUUUUAGGGUUUUCGCUGUUUCUGGCUUUUCCAUGGAAGUUUCGUUGAGUUCAAUGCCACAAUCAUUCAAGCUUGGCCGUUCUACCGACCUCAAUCGCCCCUGCCCCUGCCGCUGUUCUUGUUGUUCUUGCUAUUGUUCCUGAUUCGGAGCUUCUGUUGGGGUUUGGCUUUGCUAAAUUUUUCUAUCUUUGAUUGUGUUUGUUUACAGGAGGUGUAAUCUUUUGGGGACUGGAAUUCGUUUGAUAGGCUUAAGACUUUGAUAUUUGUGGCUUUGUUCGUAGUUAAUGGAUUUGUCUAAUUCCCAUUCCAAUCUUUCUCUUGGAAUCUCAUUGCAUGCUUCGCCACCGCACCGCGUUCAGAUUGCUGAUGAUUCCAUUCUGCUUCAUCUCGAAUCUUCUCGACAGGAACCCACGUUUUCGUCCCCCCCAAUCCCUCUUCAGUUGAUGGAGCCGCUGACGGAGAGUCACAGAGACGAGGUUGGAGAUGCGGAGAGAGAAGACGAUGUCUACGACGACAGGGAUGUAGAAGAGUUUCGUAUUCUAGGCCAUUCUAUGUGCUUGAAGCGCCGAAGAGAUAGUGAAUCUUCGUUCUCGUCCAGUUCUGCAAAGAGAAAUUCGUGUGAACGUGAUUUAGAGACACGAAGAAGUGCUGUACGGUCGUGGGGUAACCAGACCCUUCGAGCCGCGGACCCUAACCUAUUUGGAAUUAUGGAGAAGGAGAAACAGAGGCAAAUCAAGGGCAUUGAAUUGAUUGCUUCUGAGAAUUAUGUGUGUCGUGCUGUAAUGGAAGCACUUGGAAGCCACUUGACUAAUAAGUACUCCGAAGGUAUGCCCGGUGCGAGGUACUACUGUGGAAAUCAAUAUAUAGAUGAGAUUGAAACGCUAUGUCGUGAGCGCGCAUUGGCAGCGUUUGGUCUUGAUUCUGAUAGUUGGGGAGUUAACGUGCAACCUUAUUCAUGCACGUCCGCGAACUUUGCCGUCUACACUGGUCUGCUACUCCCGGGUGAUCGAAUCAUGGGGUUGGAUACUCCUUCUGGUGGCAAUACUAGUCAUGGCUACUGUACCCCGAAUGGAAGAAAAGUUUCUGGGGCCUCAAUUUUCUUUGAGAGUUUUCCAUAUAAGGUUAAUCCGCAAACUGGGUAUAUCGAUUAUGAUAAGCUUGAGGAGAGGGCGCUUGACUUUCGCCCAAAAAUACUUAUUUGUGGGGGGAGCUCGUAUCCUCGUGAAUUGGAUUAUGGAAGGUUUAGGCAGAUUGCAGAUAAGUGUGGAGCAGUUCUGAUGUGUGAUAUGGCUCAAAUCAGUGGCCUUGUUGCUGCUAAGGAAUGUGUCAGCCCUUUUGGGUACUGUGAUGUUGUGACUUCCACUACUCAUAAGAGCCUUCGAGGUCCAAGGGGAGGUAUAAUUUUCUAUAGGAAGGGUAGUAAGCCAAGGAGGAGAGCAAUGCUUCUGUAUCAGGGAAAUGAAGCUAACCAAUAUGACUUUGAGGAGAAAAUCAACUUCGCUGUUUUCCCAUCCUUACAAGGUGGACCACACAAUAACCAUAUUGCUGCGCUUGCUGUGGCUCUAAAACAAGUGGCUACUCUGGAGUACAAAGCAUACAUGCAGCAGGUGAAAAAAAAUGCUCAAGCUUUAGCUUCUGCUCUACUCCGAAAGAACUACAAGCUUGUAACUGGUGGCACAGAUAAUCACAUGGUACUCUGGGAUCUAAGGUCCUUGGGAUUGACAGGUAAAAACUUUGAGCAAGUUUGUGAGAUGUGCCACAUUACUCUCAACAAAAUUACAAUAUUUGGUGAUAAUGGAAUUAUUACUCCUGGAGGAGUAAGGAUCGGCACCCCAGCUAUGACAUCAAGAGGCUGUCUGGAAUCUGAUUUUGAAGUAAUUGUAGAAUUUCUUCAUAUAGCCGCUCAAAUUGCAAUUGUUGUUCAGCGAGAGCAUGGGAAGUUGCCGAAAGCUUUUCUUAGGGGCCUUCAAAGUAAUAAUGAAGUUGUUGAGCUCGGAUACCGUGUUGCAAGUUUUUCAGCUAAAUUUGCAAUGCCUGGCCUUGAAACUUGAAUGGAGGGUGACCAUUUGUUGUCCCUAAAAAAGAAAAAUAAUAUCUGCUGCUCAUCAUGCCUUCCAUAUAAAAUCUUGAAGCUUCUCCCUCUUGGGGUUGCUGUUUAUUCAGAUGCCUGCAUUUACUUGUCAUCUUAUUGUUUUGAGAAGGGCCUUUGCAAUCAUCAGAAGAGAAUUUAGUAAUGCCGAUCUUUUCUUCUACAAGGCCGAAUGUGUACACAAUGGAUAGAGGCGUCAUGAGCAGUUUUUUGGUGGUGUCAUUUUUGGGAUCCAAUCAACUGAAGAAAUUGGUGGCUACGAGGGAAUAUAAUUUAAAAAAAUAUAGUACUCUAUCAGAGACCGGAAGAAUGCUUUGGACCUGAUUGUUUAUGGCCACGGCUGAGGAAUCAUUUUGCCAGCUUGAUGUGUGAUGAUGUGGUAGGAAGUACGCACAAUGCUGGUCAAUUUCCUUUGAUCAGAGUUCCAUUGUGUACUUUGUCGCCAAAGUAAGCAUAGUUCAACAGUAAUCAACAUGUAUUCUCCUACCUGUUGUUGUACUGGAGAAAGGUAUUUUAUCAGUAUUUAUAUAUAUCUUUUUAUUUAUAUCUCGAACAUUGCAUUAGAAUGUUUUUUUUUUUAUGGUAAAGUUAUAAAAUCAUAUGAAAAUUAUAUCUAAAACUUUGACUUGCUUUAGCUUUAGAGCUUUAGAGAGAAGAGUGUAGGGAGGUCAUAGAAUGAUGCCUUUUCUUCAUGGGAGGAUGAAUAGGUGAUUGGAGAGAUUGAGAGGGCCAUGAAAAGGAACCCUAAAUGUCAUUGUCUUUGCCUAUUUUCCACAUCAAAGAGCCUUGUGGGUAGGGAGUUUCUUCAUCAUUAUCAUUAUUUUCUUCCUCUUUGCCUUCAUAAUUUAUUUGGGUUAAAAACAUAAUUUAUUAACCAUUCCUUAAAAAAGUUACGUUUUUGUAGUUACCCGUAGGUCGUUCGGGUCGUUCUUUAACACUAAAUUACGAAAAUACCCAUAAAUUUUGUUCAUAAACAUUUCAGAACUGCAUUAAGGACCUGAAUAUUAUCACGUUGUUCAGUAUCACUACUACACUAUUUCCAGUAGCUUUAAAUUUUAAGAACUUUAUUACAAUUUUUUAAAAGUAUUUUGUAGACAAAAGCGAAGAUUUAGGGAUACUGUUUUAGUAACUUGGCAAAAAAAAGGAAAAAUACAAGUAGUUUAGGUUGAUUAAAAUGAGGACAAGAUCUUGUCUACUCACAGAGAAGAUUGUGUGGCUGUUCCUUUUAAUCUUUUUUAAAAAUAAACUGUUUAGAUGUUUUCAAAAUUUGUUGAGCUUUUUUAUCAGGAUAAUUAAAGCUGUUCUUGGUUUCAAAAUUAUAAAUUAUGAACAGAUAGUUCACAGAAACCUUUAUACUUUAGUAGCCUCCUGUUUCGUGCAAAAGAAGAAAAAAAAAAACAAUAACUCGUCUCUUUUGUACUUUGAUUAGUAGUGAUAUUGGUUGAUCUAACCGACAAAUAUCUUUUAAUAGAUUCUUGUCUAUUGAUCUCGUCGCUCUUGUCUAACUCCUUGUUUUGUAAAUUAGUCUUGGUUGAUCCGAUCGGACCCUGAACAUGUGAGAGUCCAGCUAUCAUUUUGCACACUGGAUAUCUCUUACCUAUUUGAGAAGGAGCCUUGGAUAUCGUAUAUCAAAGACAUCUGGCUCCUGACUUGUCCUAUCUUAGAAAACGAUAUCAUCAAGAAAAAAAACACAUAUGAAAGGGAGAAACAGUCUCGGAUAUCGUAUAUCAAAGACACCUGCCCUUGACCCAUCAAAAAAAGAACAUACACACAUGAAAGGGAUGUAUAGGUUCUCUUACCACAAGUUAAGCUCAACAAUAUAUGAAGGGAAAGAUUCAAACCUUAGGCCGGUUGAAUUAGAUUCAAACUUUUGAGCUACAACACCAAUUUUUUUGGCUAAGAACACAACUUAACCCGUUGAGCCAGAUUCUUUUGACCUACAACACUAUCUGUUUUGGUCGAGAACAUAUAUCUUAAUCCAUUAAACUCUACGAAAAAGAUCCAAAAAAAAAAAAAAAAAAUCAAAUCACAUUGAUACUUUAAUUAGAGUACAAAAUUGUUUAUGUAUUGAGUAUAAUUGACCUUUGGAUUUGUUUGGAAUAAUAUUAGUGUGGCUCUGUGGUGUGCUUAUAAAAUGCCACAAGAAUCUUUCCUUUCUUCACUGCCAAAAUCCUCUCUCUCUCCUCUCUCUCUCUCUCUCUCUCUAUUUUGCUGCUUUUCUUCAAAGCAAUUUCAGAAUCAAUGCUUCUCUCUCUCUCUCCCUCUCUCUCUCUCCUCCUGAAUUUUCUUCCUUUUAAGCUAUCAUAGGCUGCAACAUCAUCACAACCUUUCUAUAAACAAUGUGAUUCCAAAUCAAAAAUGAAAAAACACUAAGUAAAAAUUACACAACAUCUCUUAUCUUCCAAAAAUCUUCACUAUUUCUUCUCAAAUUUUGCAUUUUGAAGCAUACCCAGAUCCUCCUUUUCCCCCUUCUCUACCUGUUAGUAGUACACAUGUCCAAAAGCUUCUGUCUUCCCUCAACAAUCUCAUCAAGGAAGUCAUCAAGCUGCCCAACAAUGGCGUCCACUCCAUUUCUCAAUGUCCCAAACCAACCAUUCAAUCUCUCAACUUUUUCUUCAAUUUCAUCUCCUUCUUCUUCUUCUUCCUCCAUACCCCUCUCGAGCUCCACUUUCAGGCCUUCCAUGGCUGCCUUUGCUUCCCUGAAUUCAAACAGCAAGAUCCCCACUGACUGCCCAUCUACUCUGUCUAUUUCAUUUGCCACUCUCUGUCUCAAUCUUGCCAUUGAUGCUAUGAAGCUCGAGCUGAACAUGGUCCUUAAAUGGUGAUCUUCUUCAUUCUCAAUCUCACAACUUUCAUGGAAGCUUGAUUCUGGCCAACAAUACACAAGAGCACACAGAAGAAUCAUUAGAAGUAAUGAGCUGAUGCUCUUCACUGCAUGAAGAACCCCUCUGAAUCCAUUGAAAGCAUUCAAUUUCAACGUUGAUCCAAUUCCGGUUGACGUGCCGCCGCUGCCUCUGCUGUUGAAACAGAACAGUGAUAAUGGAUGAAUUCUUGUAUACAUCAAGCUUCUAUUUUCCUCUUCUAACCCAAAAACAUUCCUCUCGAAAUCAGUAAUUGAACGAAGAAUCUGCAAAACCCCAAAACAGAGCAAAACAGAGUAUAUCAAAACAGAGCAAAACAGAGUAUAUCAAAACAGAGCAAAACAGAGUAUAUCAAAACAGAGCAAAACAGAAACGAACCCUUUGAGAAGCCCGAGCGUUUACACGAAGAAAAUGAGGAUCCUGCAAAGAAGAAGUUAUAGCAAAAGCUUCCUCAUGAAAAAUCUCCAAGCUUGAGAUUCCAGAUUUGAGGACUUGGCAAGCUUCCCAUAUGCGGGAGCUUUCAUCCAUAUACUCAUCAAGCCACUUACCACCAACGGGGAGGUGGAGGCGUUGGCCAAGUUGGAUGAGCUGAGAGUGGAGGGUUCUAAGAAAAGAGAGGACUUUUUGAAGAAAGUGAAGAGACAUGAAGUCGGAGGAGACGAACGCGGCGUCGAGGUCGUCGAGCUCAUGGGAGAUGAACUGAUAGAAGCCAUGGAGGGAGGUGGCUGUAGAAGAGGAGGUACCCAUUUGAGAGAAGUGUGUAAAUGUGUGAAAAGUGGAGAGCUUUAUAUGUGAUGGAGGGGGAGAGAUGAAGAAGGGAAGAUAAAUAGGUGACUCUGUUUCAGAACAGGGGAGGGAAGAAUAAUAUGAAAGGAUUGGUUUGUUGGGUGCAAUCAUGUGUGUUUCCUAUUCAGUGGAGGAGAUGAUUGGGCUCUGCUGUUACAAAAACAAUGCUUUUAAGAGAGAGAGAAUGAGAGAGAGAGAGAGUCAUUGAAUUUGUAUUGCCAAAUCACAAUGGAUGCCAAAAAUGGUUGC